rnacentral:lncRNA from 1 species
UACAGAAAUAGGAGAGGAAACAGAAACCCCAAGGUCAACCAACAAGCGAGAGAGCCAAGUCAACUCAGCAACAACCUUUCUAAGGGCUCGAUAUUCUGCCUCAGCAGAGGAGAGAGAAACAACAGACUGUUUCUUUGAUUUCCAACUGAUCAAACAGCCACCCAAGAGCACACAAAAAUCAGUAACAGAGCGCCUAGUAUCA